rfam:Roseateles depolymerans strain KCTC 42856, complete genome.
GAAGCAAGCCAGACCGCCGCUGGUGCAAUCGUGGAAACACGGCACUGGAGGAAGGUCCGGACUGCAUAGAGCGGCGUAGCAGCUAACGGCUGCCCGGCGAAAGCCGAGGAUCAGAGCAACAGAGACGAGUCGGACGGGGCCCGCCCCGUCCGGGUGAAACGGGCAAUCUCUACGCGCAGCAACACCAAGUAGGCCAGCGUUGAUGCGGCUCGCAGAGCUGGCGGGUAGGUGGCACCGAGCCGUGGCAGUGAUGCCCGGCCCAGAGGAAUGGCGGUCACGCAGGCAGGUCCGCAAGGACCCGCCUGUGCACAGAAUCCGGCCUAUCGGCUUGCUUCACAC